rnacentral:other from 1 species
CGGAGCAGCCACAGCUCACAGCACGCAGAGGACCCCCACAGCAGCAGCCAGACUGACCGACGGACUCGCGCCGCGUCCACCUGUCGGCGGGGCCGGGGCUGAGCGCGCACACCGCGCGCGCGGUGCAGCCGUGCCCGCCGCCCAGGUCCCGCGCCAGGGCGCACACGCUCCGGCACCCCCCACCCGGCCGGGGCGGGAGUUUGCACCUUUUCCCUGCCUGGGUGCUCGGGCCGCCGCUGCAAAGCCACUUUGGAAAAAGUUUUUCUUGGAGGAAGCUUGGCUUUUGAGGUGCCCAGCCCUGCGCUUUCCGAUUUGGAGGACCAUCCCAGAAAAUGUUGCAAAAAAGAUAAGCCGGCGGGCAGAGGAAAACGCCUUUAGCCGGCGAGUGAAGACGAACCAUCGGCUGCCGUGUUCCUUUUCCUCUUGGAGGUUGGAGUCCCCUGGGCGCCCCCACACGGCUAGACGCCUCGGCUGGUUCGCGACGCAGCCCCCCGGUCGUGGAUGCUCGCUCGGGCUCGGGAUCCGCCCAGGUAGCGGCCGCGUACCCUGGUCCCGCGCCCAGGCCCUCCCCAACCCCCCAACGACGGAGCCCGGGC